GAAUUCGAUUCAGGCCUAAAAAAAACAAGUCGAGCGGGGUUUUCGGACCUAGCGGCGGACGGGUGAGUAAUGCGUAGGAAGCUGCCCGAUAGAGGGGGAUACCAGUUGGAAACGACUGUUAAUACCGCAUAAUGUCUACGGACCAAAGUGUGGGACCUUCGGGCCACAUGCUAUCGGAUGCGCCUACGUGGGAUUAGCUAGUUGGUGAGGUAAUGGCUCACCAAGGCGCCGAUCUCUAGCUGGUUUGAGAGGAAAAACAGCCACACUGUUUUUGGGGGAAGGUCCAGACUCCUACGGGAGGCAGCAGUGGGGAAUAU
rnacentral:rRNA from 1 species